CCGCCAUUUCCUCUCCUGUUUCCCGCCUCUUCAGCGAAGCCAAAGGGCAUCAUGCCCUUCUCCAUCGUCGUGGAGAUCGCGAAGGUGAUCGAGCCCUAGAUGCAAGGAUUGGUGCGAUUUCGAUGUGCUGAUCGGCGUCGGUGGAGGUUAGGGUUUGUUUAUUCGAUCUUAUUAUUGUGUUUUCUUGAUAUUGAUUUUCUUUGCUGUUUCGAUUGAUUACUUGUUUAGCUUGAUCUCUUGUUCUGGUAUUUUUUAUUUUCGAUGUGAUUGUUGCGUUGUUGAUUUGUUUUAAUUCGUUGAAUGGGCUUCAUAUUGUUGUGAAACUUGUGGGGUUUGUUUGGUGAAUGAUCUAUUGAGGAUGGUUCUCUGA